UUUUGUUUCAUUUUAAAACUGAAACGAAUCCAUCCUUACUCAAUUCACGAUUGGGCGACACAUAUGACUCAAAACAUCAGGAGACGAGUUCGUAUCAAAUUGGUAUCAGAGCUAGCGAAUUUAGAGUAAGAAUCGACGUUGUUGGCAUUACGGUAUAGUAGUUUCUCAAAAAAAAUUCAAAAAAAAUCGAAAAAAAAACUAGUUUCCAUUCAAACUUAAAAGAUUGGAUAUCAAGUUGUGAAAAAAAAUUUGAAAAAAAAAUGAAAAAAAAUUGUGAAAAAAAAAAGAGAGCUAGUUUUGAAAUUUAGUUUUUGUUUGCUGCCCAAAUUUUAGUCAUUAUUACCUUCUACUAUUUCGCCACACCCAACCUUUUCAUUUCUUUGUUUCAAGCCUACCUUCCUUUGUCCUACAAUAAUCUUACCAAGCCCAAACAUCAAGUUUGUAAGCCGACCCACAACAAUUG
rnacentral:lncRNA from 1 species